rnacentral:rRNA from 1 species
UACAGAGGUCUCAAGCGUUGUUCGGAUUCAUUGGGCGUAAAGGGCGCGUAGGCUGCGGGGCAAGUCGGGUGUGAAAUCUCAGAGCUCAACUCUGAAACUGCACUCGAUACUGCUUUGCUUGAGGACUGGAGAGGAGAUUGGAAUUCACGGUGUAGCAGUGGAAUGCGUAGAUAUCGUGAGGAAGACCAGAGGCGAAGGCGGCUACCUGGACAAUUGCUGACGCUCAGGCACGAAAGCGUGGGGAGCAAAAGGG